rnacentral:lncRNA from 1 species
CAAGAUCAAGACAACCCCCACAGUAUACUCCUAAUCUCCUACCCCAGCCCCUAAACCAAACACCCCCGCCCAUAUCAUGUUCAUCGUCUCUAUCAAUCAGAGAUGAACAUGAACGAAACCCUAGCGCCUCCACCCUUUCCCUUCGCCUUAAACCCGGCGGCCCUUGCUUCGAUGACCCCAAAAUUAACACCCUUAGACCAUCUAACCACUCCUAAUCCAAAUCCAUGAACCGUUUAGCUCGAAUCAAACUGGAACUUCUCGAAUCUUCAAAUGCAGAUCUCGACCCUACCCCAACCAAGCCCAAUUCACACCAGACAUCCCCCUGACCUCCCUCGUUACGAAACCACUCUUGGUUUGGUUCGAAUCUGGUUAGAAACGUUCGAACCCCAAAUUGAACAUAAGAACCCUAGAAAUUCCACACCGUUCAAUCCGUCCAAAUUUAUGGAAGACUUGGGGUCUAAUUUACUUUAUUCGAAGUGUUCUCAGUGGAGAACACUCGAAUAAGGUCCGUUCGACCUCAAAUAAGUACCAGUCAAGGGUUCAGUUCCUGAGGUCGUCCGACUUGAGUUUCUAAGGUAACUUACCCUCCCUUUUGUUCUUUAAUGUUAUUGGUAUCUGUUAAUUGUUUUAAGUUCUUAGUAAUUUUUCAAUUUUCCUUUUAUUAGUUCUGUCCAUCUUCAAAAGAAGACCUUUUAUUUGGUCGAUUAUUUCUUCUGUCGAUUGUUAAUUGUGUCUGUCAUGAAUUACAUAAUCGAGUUGAUUAAUGUCGUCGAGCAAUUAGCUUCAUCAGUCCAUUGCUCUGUUCAAAACAACUUAAUUCAUUUGGUGGCCUAUUUUGUCUGAUUGUUUGUCAAUUAAUUGUUAUAUGUAUUAGCUUGUAUAUUAGAUUGAUUAAGUAUCGUCAAUUAGUUUCUCGUCCUUAAGUGCCAGAAAUAUGAUAAUAAUUCACUUUGCCCAUCCCAGUAUGUCUAUCAUCGUGUUCUUUUUGUGCUAAAGUCAAGUUAAAAUGAACUUGUUAAUGUAUUCAGUUUUCCCAUUUGAACUGAACUGUUUAACCAGUUGAAUGUCCUGAAUAUGUCUGCUUUCAAUUGUUAUAUGAACAUGUGUUGUGAAUUUGUUAACUAGCAUAGACUUUAAUCAACUCAGGGUUAAACCAAGCACAUGAUAUAGUAUACUGUGGUUUUGAAAUUGUGAUUGAUUGAGAAUCAGCUUUGAUUUUGAUUAAAUUUCAGUUCAAUUAGAAUUCGGCCUCAAACGUUCAGUUGUUACAGAUUAGCUAUAGCUGGUAAUUAAACUUUAGUUUUAAAUAGUUUUUAAGGUUUGAACACAUUUUAGAAUCUGUCUUAUGGAUUAGUGCAGUAACAAUUGGAUCCUAGGGUGUUUUAGGUAAAAAAAGAAUAAGAAAAUCCGGUUUGACUGAAUAGUCUACUCAAUAGGGCCCGUAACAGCUUUAAUUUGAACUAAUUGGUAGAAAGGCACCACUAAGUAAUGAGAGUGUUUGCUUAAUUGGAAUUAGGAAUAGUAUAAGCAAUGAUAAAAAGUUAGAAGAUAGACAUAGAAAAGAAUAUAGCGCGGAAUGAAAAUUUUAAGAAAAGGAAAGGGUAAUUGGAAGGGUAAUAAUAAAAAUAGGGUGGUAAUAAUAAUUAAAGAAGAUGGGAAGAUAGUCUUAUUUAUAUAUAAAUGAGAGUCAUUUGACAUUUGAAAAAAAGAAUUUUCAGAGUGGAAGAGAGUAAUAUUAAGCUAGCUUUUCCACUUUAAGAAAGCUAAGUGAAUUGAGUGUUCGAAAUCAGAAGUUAUUGAUUUCCUAGCAGACUCUUCUCUGAUUUGAUUUUGAGGGUAUUUUGGUGCUAUUGGCAUCCAAUUGGUAGCUGAGUUUUUCAGUUGGUUUUUCAAGUGUGUUUAGUGUUCUCUGGCUCUUUCUGUUGGUUUUCUAUUCGAAAAUCCAUGAGGUUGUUACUGGGUUCUGCUUGGUUUCAACUCCAUUACUGGGUUAUCUCCUGUUGGUUUCACUGAUUGUGCUGUUGUUCGCUGGAUCUGUUGCCGUGUCACUGCUUGAUUCACCACUGAUCUUCCUCUCUUAUUUAUUUUCUAAAUACCAGGUACACAUUGCUAUACUGGUACACUUAUAGUUGAAACUUGAAGCAUAAAUGAAAUGAAAUUUUAAAGUAUCGAAUUUGUUUAGUUGUAGUAUUGUAUAUUAAGUUGUAUAUGAUAGUAGUCUGCAUUAGAAACAUGUAAAGUGAUUAUUGUGUCUAACUGAGUUUAGUCUGUAACAGUUUAUAUGAUGAAUUCUUUCUCUCAUACGCUAAUUUAAAGAACCCAUGAUGUAGUAGUGACAUUCUAGCAUUUCAGUUUAUUCUUUACAAGCAUGCUGCAAAUAUGUAUAAGGCCUUAAGCUGUUUUAAUUACUAGGUAAUCUAAGUUACCUCAUUUACUAGACUGCCUCUAUAAAACUUGCAACAAUUUGUUAAUUAAAUAUCAUCAUUUUACAUUUUUAGCUUUGCAAAACUGUGAACCUGUGUAGAAUAAAUUAACUAGGCCCAAUAUUUGAAUAAGAUGGCCCAGGUCCAGUUUAACACUGCAUGCUUUGGACCUGGGCCCACGUUGGAAAACAGACUGGCCAUGUUGUAAUUAGAUGGCCCAGGUCCAGUUUAACACUGCAUGCUUUGGACCUGGGCCCACGUUGGAAAACGAACUGCCCAUGUUGUACAUUCAAAUUCUGAUUUAACCAAUUGCGUUCCAAACCCGACUAUAAUAACUAGUAAGAAUAUAAUUAAUUAGGACAUUUUCUCUUUUAUUUUAGAGACGAACUUAGUAGAAAAAAUAUAGUCACUUUAGGAUUGUCCUUUUAAUAUAUGAGAUGAGCCUCGCCAAAUAAAACACACAAGCUGCGGGGUCCUCAAUAUAUGGUUAAUAAUUAAUUAGACUUUGGAUGAGCCGUUUAGCGAAUAUCCACGACCUUCCCCAAAUUAAUAACACGAUAGUCUCUUUAGGCGCGAUUUUAAUAAAAUUACAUUCCUAAACUCGGGUGCACAUUUAUGUGACCCAAAUCCAAAUCUCAACUGAGUCGAAAUGUGUCAACAACCAUGGAUGCAUUGAUUGCGAUGUGGUUCGAGACGCAUUUUUACGAAGUUGCAAUUCCAUAAAAAAAAGCGAUUUAAAGUUAAUAAAAGCACAUAAGUUAUAACAUGUAUUAGAGUCAGAUAUUUAGCCAUUACAACAGUUUAAGGGACCGUGCUAGAAUCAUGGAAUUCGAGGGUGCCUAACACCUUCCCUCGGUCAACAAAAUUUCAUACUUAAAAUUUCUGGUACGCAGACUUCAUUUGAAAAGUCGAAUAUUUUCUUCGAAUUGGGAUUCAAAAUAAACCGGUGACUUGGGACAGACAAACCUUUCCUAAGUGGCGACUAUGAAAUAAAUAAAUAAUUCCAUUUUGAAUAUUAUCACUUAAAUUGGGAAAACUCCAUUGUGCAUCUAUCCCUCGGGGUAGGCGCGCAAAAAGGAGGUGUGACA